GAUCAACGCUGGCGGCGUGCAUGAGACAUGCAAGUCGAACGAAGGAUCGGGCUUGCUCGAUCCUUAGUGGCGGACGGCUGAGUAACGCGUAGGUGACCUACCCCGAAGUGGGGAAUAACUGCCCGAAAGGGUGGCUAAUACCGCAUGUGGUCGCACGUUCAUUCGUGCGAGUAAAGCCGCAAGGCGCUUCGGGAGGGGCCUGCGUCCGAUUAGCUCGUUGGUGGGGUAAAGGCUUACCAAGGCGACGAUCGGUAGGUGGCCUGAGAGGACGAUCACCCAGACUGGGACUGAGACACGGCCCAGACUCCUACGGGAGGCAGCAGUCGGGAAUUUUGCUCAAUGGGGGAAACCCUGAAGCAGCAACGCCGCGUGAGGGAUGAAGGCCUUCGGGUUGUAAACCUCUUUUGUCAGGGACGAUGAUGACGGUACCUGGCGAAUAAGCCACGGCUAACUACGUG
rnacentral:rRNA from 1 species